UACGUAGGGGGCAAGCGUUAUCCGGAUUUACUGGGUGUAAAGGGAGCGUAGACGGAGAAGCAAGUCUGAGGUGAAAUCCCCGGGCUCAACCCGGGAACUGCUUUGGAAACUGUUUUUCUUGAGUGUCGGAGAGGUAAGCGGAAUUCCUGGUGUAGUAGUGAAAUGCGUAGAUAUCAGGAGGAACACCGGAGGCGAAGGCGGCUUACUGGACGAUAACUGGCGUUGAGGCUCGAAAGCGUGGGGAGCAAAC
rnacentral:rRNA from 1 species